rnacentral:rRNA from 1 species
UAGGGAAUCUUCCACAAUGGACGCAAGUCUGAUGGAGCAACGGCCGCGUGAGUGAAGAAGGUUUUCGGACCGUAAAGCUCUGUUGUUGGUGAAGAAGGAUAGAGGUAGUAACUGGCCUUUAUUUGACGGUAAUCAACCAGAAAGUCACGGCUAACUACGUGCCAGCAGCCGCGGUAAUACGUAGGUGGCAAGCGUUGUCCGGAUUUAUUGGGCGUAAAGCGAGCGCAGGCGGAAGAAUAAGUCUGAUGUGAAAGCCCUCGGCUUAACCGAGGAAUUGCAUCGGAAACUGUUUUCUUGAGUGCAGAAGAGGAGAGUAGAACUCCAUGUGUAGCGGUGGAAUGCGUAGAUAUAUGGAAGAAUACCAGUGGCGAAGGCGGCUCUCUGGUCUGCAACUGACGCUGAGGCUCGAAAGCAUGGGUAGCGAACAGGAUUAGAUACCCUGGUAGUCCAUGCCGUAAACGA